GAGCGGCGGACGGGUGAGUAAUGCCUAGGAAUCUGCCUGGUAGUGGGGGAUAACGUUCGGAAACGGACGCUAAUACCGCAUACGUCCUACGGGAGAAAGCAGGGGACCUUCGGGCCUUGCGCUAUCAGAUGAGCCUAGGUCGGAUUAGCUAGUUGGUGGGGUAAUGGCUCACCAAGGCGACGAUCCGUAACUGGUCUGAGAGGAUGAUCAGUCACACUGGAACUGAGACACGGUCCAGACUCCUACGGGAGGCAGCAGUGGGGAAUAUUGGACAAUGGGCGAAAGCCUGAUCCAGCCAUGCCGCGUGUGUGAAGAAGGUCUUCGGAUUGUAAAGCACUUUAAGUUGGGAGGAAGGGCCAUUACCUAAUACGUGAUGGUUUUGACGUUACCGACAGAAUAAGCACCGGCUAACUCUGUGCCAGCAGCCGCGGUAAUACAGAGGGUGCAAGCGUUAAUCGGAAUUACUGGGCGUAAAGCGCGCGUAGGUGGUUUGUUAAGUUGGAUGUGAAAUCCCCGGGCUCAACCUGGGAACUGCAUUCAAAACUGACUGACUAGAGUAUGGUAGAGGGUGGUGGAAUUUCCUGUGUAGCGGUGAAAUGCGUAGAUAUAGGAAGGAACACCAGUGGCGAAGGCGACCACCUGGACUGAUACUGACACUGAGGUGCGAAAGC
rnacentral:rRNA from 1 species